GUAGGUGGCAAGCGUUGUCCGGAAUUAUUGGGCGUAAAGCGCGCGCAGGCGGUCCUUUAAGUCUGAUGUGAAAGCCCACGGCUCAACCGUGGAGGGUCAUUGGAGACUGGGGGACUUGAGUACAGAAGAGGAAAGCGGAAUUCCAAGUGUAGCGGUGAAAUGCGUAGAGAUUUGGAGGAACACCAGUGGCGAAGGCGGCUUUCUGGUCUGUAACUGACGCUGAGGCGCGAAAGCGUGGGGAGCAAACAGGGAUUAGAUACCCUGGUAGUCCACGCCGUAAACGAUGAGUGCUAAGUGUUAGGGGGUUUCCGCCCCCUUAGUGCUGCAGCUAACGCAUUAAGCACUCCGCCUGGGGAGUACGGCCGCAAGGCUG
rnacentral:rRNA from 1 species